GGAUCACAAUAUGAUGAUAAGGCAUCUAGUAGCAAGGUGGCCUGGUUCUGCUCACGACGCAUUUGUCUUCAAUACAAGCGACCUGAACACUUAUCUGGGGGAGAGGAAUGUAAGUGGGUGGCUGCUUGGGGACUCUGGUUAUCCACUGAAGGCCUAUCUCAUGACCCCUGUGGUGGAUGAGCAGACUGGCGCAGACAUGCGGUAGGCCUAGGCCUAUGUGUAAUGCAGUCUAAAUAUUUAUAUUGCAGUGACUGCUGCCUGGAGACACCACUUUGAUUUUGCUGUUGCUUUGUUUGUUAUUAGAUACAAUCGGGCCCAUAAAAAAUGUAGGGCGAGAAUAGAGCGGCUGUUUGGUGUUUGGAAAAGCAGAUGGAGGUGUCAUGAUGUGAGUGGAGGCUACCUACAAUACACGCCUGAGAAGGUGGUCCUAUUCAUUAAGGCCACAGCUGUACUGCACAACAUCUGUAGGCUGGCAAACGUACCAGAUCCUGAAGUAGACAUUAUUCAACAAGAGCACCCAGAAGAGGUGGAGGAGGCUCAUGCCAAUGGGCUGACUGUAAGGGCUCAGCUCAUAAGAGACUUUUUUACAAGGCCA